GCGGUGCGUUACCAGGGCUGAGGAGAGCUGGCGGCGCGCCGGCGAGCAGACGCCCGGACCCGCUCCGGAGAAAGACCGCGCGUGAGACAGCCCGAGUGACACCGAGACCUAAGGAGCCCGAGCGACAGAGAUAGAGAGAAGCGGGUGGGAGAGAGGCUCGGAGAGACGGAGAGCGUGGGAGCCACAGAGAGACAGGGAGAGACUGAGAGAGACUGGGAGGCGAGGGGGCUGGGAGAGAGACAGACGCAGAGGGAGCCAGAGACCCCGAGAGACGGAGAGAGAGGGAGGCCGAGGGGGAGAGAUAGAGUCUCCCUGGCACCGGCUGGGUGAGAGAAGGAGAAGAGAAGGGGGUGGGGGAGAGACUCGGAGAGAACCUCCUGGACCAGGCCAGGUGCGCCUGUGGGUCCUGGGACCGGAGUCCUCCUUUGGCCAGCCGUGAAGGGCGCUUUCCGAGGGGACCGUUGUUUUUCUCAGACGCCCCAUCUCGUCCUUAUCAGAAUGGCGGGUGGACAGUCUGCGUGUGGCGUAUUUCUCUUUCUCUAGCUGGGGCCCGGCGUUUUGAAGCCCAGAGAUAGGACUGAAACUUCCUCUGGGCAAGCUUAAGCAGCUGGGUGCGAUCGGGCUCGAAUCCGUGUUCAACAGGUUCAGAAAUAACCUGUUUCCUCGGUAUCGCCUCCCACUCCGCCUCAUCUCCCACCCCACCAUAGGAGACAAAAAUCUCUGAAGUGAUUUCAAGGAAGGCGACAUUUCCCAAAUGGAAACGUCAGAGAAAGUCUUCCCAGGAUGCGUGAGAGCCAGAGGGCUCGGGAUGUGACUUAGAAGCAGGCAGGCUCUUAGUAGGCUCUGUGAUUCCUGCAUUCGCAUGCAAGUGUUUGGACCUUUUCCAUCAAAUCACUAUGCGAGCUGCAGUGUGUGAUGUUCAGAGAGGGAGGGCAUCUUUGGUCGUCCCGUUAGCUGCAGUGCAGCCGAUCCUGGGCAGUUGACCUGGGUGGGAUCAGAAAUUUGGUGUCAUGAUAGGCUGACAGAUUUCCACUGGCACUUCCCUUGCGGUUUCCCUAGAUUCACACGGUCCUAUGGGGUGUGUUGCAUUUGUGUGUUGACCUGCGUGUGUCAGGGUAGUGUUAGUUUUGUCCAAGAAGGGCCAGUGAGUGGCCUUGCUUGGCUGAGCCUCUUGGGGUACCAGCAACAGGGAGAAAGGCCAGAGAGGAAGCAGUUCUCUGUUUUCAGGAGCAGAAUCCCAACAGCCCCCUGUCAAAGUGUCUCUUAGCCUGGACCAUCACUGGCAUUUGAGAAAAUGCUCUGGGAAUGAUUUUCGUAGGGAGGCGCUGGUCAUGCUCUCUGCAGUCAGAUGUCCAUUACAUUGGAAAUCAGACUUGGGAUUGUGUGACUAGCUGAGUUAAAACUAAGCCCCAGAUCCAUUUUGUUGACCCGGCGUGUGGGUGGCAGAUAAACUAAAGAUAAAUGUUCGAUUCUGGUGCGUUGCAAGGAAAAUUUAUGUUCUUAGAGUAAUGAUCCCGUGCUAACACCCCAUCUGUAUUUGAUAUUUAUCAGAUUAUGAGAAUUUAAAGGUAAGGAGAGCCACGGGUAAGUAUAAGAUGUCGGAUGGAAACUGAAACAGGGGACAGUAGUGAGAGGAGAGAUUGGUGUGAUGAAAGGUACAGAGAUAUUUGUAUUUUAACAGACCUAGCGGAGAAAUGGCCAGCAUCACAACCUAGCUCCGUGACCUUGAGUGAGUGGCUGAACAUUUCUGAUCCUCACGAACCUCAUCUGCAAGUGAGAGGCAUAGAUCUCACUCGCGAUGGCAUCAGCAGCAUUGACGAUGUGAACCUAGUGAUCAGUGACCCGGGUGACCAGCAGAGCCGCUGACAAGACUAUCCCUCUCUUCCUGAUAGAGGAGAAUACAGCUAAUCCGUGCAAGUGACAAAGAUACAGAACAGCAGCGUGGCACUGCAUUGUCUGGAACUCAGACUCCUUUUACCCUGGCGUUGUAUAAGUCUGGUGUGUUCUGGCCACACGCUUCCCUCGCCACCUCUUAGCUAUUCGAAAACCUCCAGCUUCACCUUCCCGGCUAGACCCCCGGGCUGGGCGGAGCUUCUAGCUCUAACUGGACCCCCAUGGAUCCACUCCAGAAAUGGAACCCAGCGUUGGUUUCCGGAUCUUCCCAGGUGACCGCUGGGGAGAACUCGCAGGAGGGCACGGCAGCCUCUCAGCCUUCUUCCUCGGAACAGCUAAUGAUGGGCCUCAGCGGCCUGAACCCCAGUCCUGGUCCUGGCCUCCCUGCCCCUCUGCCAGAGGGGCUGUUCCAGCAGCAGUACAGGGAGGAGAAGACCCUGCGGGAGCGGCGCUGGGAGCGGCUGGGCUUCCCUCAGAGGAAGAAAGCAUUCCUGGGUCACCUGAGACGCAGGCACCGCGAUCACAUGGCACCUUACCCAGUGGAAAGGGAGACCAGGGUCUACCCCACAGGCGACAGAGCUCAGAAUCGGUUCCGAUGUGAAUGUCGCUACUGCCAGGGCCACAGGCCGAGUAUUUCUGGGCUCUCUGGCGAGAGGAAUGGGGCCCCCAACCCUUCCUCCUGGGAAACACUAGUGCAGGGCCUCAGCGGCUUGACCCUCAGCCUGGGCACCAACCGGUCUGGCCUUCUGCCAGAAGGGGCACAGCAGCAGCAGCAGGAGCAAGAGGAGAAGUGCCAACUGGAGAAGCAGCAGGAAAGCAAGAGAAUGUUCCAGAGGCUGCUCAAGCAGUGGUUGGAAGAAAACUGAGAGCCCCCUGCCCCCUUUCAUGGGGCGGAGACCUGAAGGGAUGCAGACAGUGCUGUGUUGCCAGCUCCUGGGGGUGGGCUCCUUCUGGGGACCAAACAGUCAGCUGUCGUCGGAGGAGUCCCAAGACUAGUUGUGUGACUGGAUGGAUUCCUAUUGGCGUGAGAUUUGACCCACUCCCAGGGAGGUCCUCCUCUUCCUGCCUGUCAUCUGUGAAGCGCUGUGAGGCACCCUGGGGCAAGGGAGACUGCACACCAGUGGACCUCACCUCAUCCCAUAUGGCUCCCAUGCCGCAUGUUGUCGCUUUCCCAGCCUGGAUCUGCGUCUUUGCUCCCUACCUUGUUGUCAAAGCCCGUGAUGUGUACCCAGCCACGGACCAUGUGAUUCCUCUGAGCCGAAAACAAAUUCUGCUUUGUGUCAGUCUGUUUUUAGGGAGGCCCCAGCACUACAUUGCUGCAGAAGUCUGCACGUCUCCUGCCAACACAAGUGGCUCGAGAGCAGGUAAGUUUCUUAGAUUUUCAACUUGGGAUCCCCUCAGAGAACUUGAGAGCUAAACUGACCCGAUCAGGAUCGUCUCCCAGUUCCAAGGGAGAGGGUAAAUAAAGAAGGGCGAAUUCUUUCCUGAAACUCAAAGGCCUAAAUCCUAGAAUGGAGAUUCUGCAGUGUUCAGAAGGGAUGACAGGGUGAUGCACGUUGGCCGGUUCUUUUACCAGGUGUCAGACAAUGCCCUGCGUGUUUCUAUAUGUUAGCUCUUUUUAUCCCCACCACAGACCCAUCACUUAGGAACAAUGUCAGUCCCACAGUAGAGAGCUUGGCCAGGGUCCCCUGGGAGGCAAGAGGCGGAACUGGCACACAAGCCUAGGCAAGGUGGAUUCUAGCUGGCAACCUGAACCUGUUCCCCCUUUGUAAUGGCUAUUGCAAAGUCACCUUACUGACACCUCAUGCCUUCAAGGACCAAGUCUUGGUAAGAUGUGUUGUUGAAUCCUCAGCACAGCGCAACAGGGCAGGGGUGCUUAUUUGUCGCUGAGAGUCUGUGGAGGUUGUAAAGUGGUGGCCAGAGAGGCAGACCUUUGUCUGACUCCCCACACACUGAGUCACGCUCCUCAGACCUCGCCUCACCAUCCUCAGUUCAUCGGCCACGCCAGUUCUGUGAUGCCAGUGACGACCAAGCGUUAAACCAAUCCCCCGGGGUUCAAUUUCUACACUUUAACUCCCCCUAGUCUAGGCCAUGCUGACGGUUGUGGUGGGGAAAUGAGGAAGAAUGGUGCCGUUGGUCCUUGCCCUUAGGCACUGAGCAUUGAAUCAGGGAGGAAGAUUGGGCACUGUCUCAGUCUCUUUUGUAACAAGAUACUACAGACUGGGCAAUUAAUACAGAAGAGAAAGUUAUUUCUCAUGGUUCUGGAUGCCUGGAAGUCCAAGAUCAAAGUACCUGUGUCUGGUUUCUGGUGAGGACCUUCUUCUCACAUGGCAGAAGGUGGAAGGGCAAGCGGAGAUGGACAUCGUUCCUUUCAUGGCAGUGGAGCCAAACCCAUUCACACAAGCCCCCUUUUAACAGAAUUAAUGCAUUCAUGAGGGCAGAUCCCUGGGGACAUAAAUACUUUCCGUUAGGCCACAGCCCACCCCACCCAACCCCGGCACUACCACAUUGGGGUUUGAGUUUGUACACCAGUUUCAGAGGGGACAAAAAGGUUCAAACCCUAGCAUGCACCAACGGAUGGGCUAGGGAGCAGACAAUUGAUCCCUUGUGUGGGCCGGUUUGUUCAGGGUAUGAGAGGAGUGAGAAGGAACCCCGUUGGAACUCCUCCAUGCAGACAUGGAAGGCUUGUGGAGGAAUUCAUUACUACAGAGCAAAUCAAAGUAAUCAGGAGAUCGUGUGGAAAAUGGCACCACAUCCCCGCCUCCAAGACAAAGGUCUCUAUACCCAUAGAUGGGUUGUAGGAGGGGUUCUGGAAGGGAUGUCUCAGACAUCAGGCUAUCCAAAGCUACAGGCUAGGAGCUGGAAUCUCAUGGUGUCCACAGACAUCCAACAUGUCAAAUUCUAAACCGGACACUGAAUGAAAGGUACCAGCAGGCAAGAAAACACUGGGGCAGAGAAAGGUUACAAUGGAUGCACAGGAUGAAAACCUGGACAGAUUUAGAGCAUUCCUAUGAAAUGGAGAGAGGAAAUGAAAAACAUCUUCCCACAAUUGAGAAGUCAGGCCCAGGUGACUUUGGGGGUGAAUUCUACCCAACAUUUAAAGAAGAAAUAGUACCAAUCCUUUGCAGACGCUUCCAGAAUGUGGAAGAGGGUGGGGGGUUGGGGGGCAUUUCCCAACUCAUUUGGUGAAGAGUGUUUACUCUGCUACUAAAGCCAGACAGAGACAUCACAGGAAUGCGACAGACCGAUAUCCACCAUGAAUAUCGACACAAAAAGGCUGAAGAAAAUAUGAAUGAGUCAGGUGUA